AUGGCAGAAGCUUUAGCCCUCAAAUUUGGACUAACACUAGCGCAAAGGGUGGGGUGCAAUCACCUAAUCAUCAACUCAGGUAAUCUGGAGUUGAUUGAGACCAUGGAGGCUGGAGGACAGUCAACUGGUGCGGCGGCGGCAAUUUUCGAUGACUGCUUCCACUACGCAUGUGAUUUCAUUAUGACUAGAUUUGAACAUUGUAAUAUAGAGGCAAAUAGAGUAGCACAUGAACUUGCUAGAUUAGCUAGAUUUUCUUCUACUUCAGAUUGGUUUGAGGAGUCUAUCAAUGAAAUUGUACUCAUCCUCACAAACGUUGUAUUGGUUAUUUCUAAUAAAUAA
rnacentral:rRNA from 1 species